AUUGAACGCUGGCGGCAGGCUUAACACAUGCAAGUCGAGCGGAGACUUCGGUCUUAGCGGCGAACGGGUGAGUAAUACCUAGGAAUCUGCCUAUUAGUGGGGGAUAACGAAUCGAAAGGUUCGCUAAUACCGCAUACGUCCUACGGGAGAAAGGGGGGGAUCUUUCGGACCUCUCGCUAAUAGAUGAGCCUAGGCCGGAUUAGCUAGUUGUAGGGUAAAGGCCUACCAAGGCGACGAUCUGUAGCUGGUCUGAGAGGAUGGCCAGCCACACUGGAACUGAGACACGGUCCAGACUCCUACGGAGGC
rnacentral:rRNA from 1 species